AGCUGCAUCUACUUCUGCUCCUGUUGGGGCUCUAUGGAUGUUCCUACUCCAGCCCUUGCUGUGCCUGGGGCUGUCAGUGGGCCUGCUGGGACUCCUGGCCAUGCAGGAUGUGUGUCCCCCCCAUCAGUAAGGGCAUAGCUGGUGAAGGUGGUCCUCUGCCUCAAUGUGGGGCCACUCUGCUUCUGAGCAGUUGUGUGGGGAUAUGCUCUGAGCGAGGAGAUGGGAAUAAUGCAGAUCCCCAGCUUGCCCUAAGCAACAGUGCAGCAGGUUUAGACUAGUUGAGUAUGAGAUUGAAGUAAUGAGAGUGUAGAAAUAUUGUCUUGGGAAAAAAAUCAGGAAAUGUUACAGCGUGAGCAAACUGGAGUGUUGCAUUGUAGUCUGUGUGGGCUGUUGCACCCUGCUGGAGAGGGUGGACUACCAAACCCUCCUGGGCAGGGUGGGUGAUUACUGUAAGCUGUGCUCAGCUGGUGCUUCUCUCUGUGCCAGACGUUUAAUUCUCAGACUCAGAGGACCCUUGUGUGUAUUUGAACCAUGAAAGUGAUGAAGGAAAAGUAACAUAAACAAAAAUGACAAUUAUUUAGAAGUUGGAAACUUAGAAGAACAACGAUAUUCAGUUCAGAAGACUGCCAGGCCAAGUCCAGCCUUCUGAUUCCAGUAAACACAAUUACAUUGAAUACCCUCAGGUGCUCGCAUGCUGCUGUGCUGUGGAGAAGAUUUCUGCUCAGGCAGCAGAGCAGCCGCGUCCUGUGCUCAGGAGUACCUCAGGGGUAGGAAUGCUCCAGGGAGAAGCCCAAGGAAUAAGGUCAGGCCUUACAGAAGUACCACAGCAUGGUUAACUGCCUCAGAAGUGUAAAGUUUCACGGACAGAGGAGCAACACUUCACAGGAAGUAUUGACACAUUGACACAUGCUGUUCCAACUCUUCUGGCCGAAGAAUAAAAUGUGAAUGCUUUAUUCACAGCUGAGAGCACUUACUACCCAAAGCAGCCUCCCUGAAGGCACUGCAACUAUUUCUGAGAGCUAAUUGUGUGAAUAACGUGAUACUGUAUAAAUGUGAUCAGUGACUGGAGUGUUGCAGGAGUGCUUGCUUACAGCAGUUCCGCUAUAAGACAGUGCUACCCUUACUCAUGUAUUUUUACAGGUAGACUGUGAGCUGUGUCCUUGGUCAAGAAAGCAGCCUGAAAGGGAAGUCACUGGGGAAACGAGCAAAAUCAAAUUCUGAAACAAGUUAUCACUAACUGUCGGCAACACUAGGUAAAACUAAAAUAGAGAGGUGAUAAUGGUAUGAAACGGGAAAGGAGGAGUGUGAAGAACUGAGGUCAUCAGGAAAAAAAGGGCGAAAAAUAAUUGAAGCUUAAACCCUGCUUUUUGUUACUGCUUUUUUCCUCCUUAAUCCUCAUUUAUUUCAGGUCAUUCCUCAGGAAACCACAGCUGGGUCUUUUUUCUAAAUGGUAAGGCAAUACUGGGAGUCCUGUUGUUUUAUUUGAAAAAUUGAUGAUGGAGAAGAGAAUCUGUUAACACAGUCCUGCUUAUCCAGCAUGAAUAUGCAGAAGGUCCCACUUGACAGGCAUUAUGAACCAGAGUCAGUUCAUUUAUUGGGCCCAAGCAUCUCUCCAGACAAGGUUAAGAAAUACCUUCUCCUUUCUGCUUUUCAGCCCUCUUCCUGAUUUUCAGAUACUUAGCUACAGUUCCUUUCUUUUUCCUAGAACAUUAUUCUAGCAAAAAGUAUGUGUCAAGUCUUCUGUCCUCCUAACUCCUCUGAUCAGUCACACCUACAGUCAGUGUUUUAGUCAUGGUCCAAAUUUCUUUAUUCCAGAAGCUAAUGCCCUCAGAGAAAGGCAACCAUUAUAAUCAGCAGCCUGUCCAGCAUUUCACCCCUCCUUGGUUCACAGCACAAUGGAUAUGUUCACAAGGAAAAAUCAGGGAAUAGCUAGUACACAAAAAUGCCUAUCUGUGCCAGUGUGAUUUAUCCCGUGUUGAUAGCAUUAGCACUGAAAGUGUAGGGUAAUAGGAUCACACAUUACUUGGAGUUCCCAGAGGUCUUGGUCCUUGUUAGCUUUUUUUUUCUACAUGUGCUAGCACAAUCCAAAUAGCAUAACUAGAUUCAUGCACAUAAAAUCACACCUUCAUUUUGCUGUGUAUGAGGCAAGGAAUUGACUGUCCGGUCUGAAGAUAGCAGCCUACCUACAAUGAGGGCUUCUGCGUACAAGAAGAAAAGCAUGAGAAAAUAGAAGGUCAGUGUCUUAAGAUGGGUAAAGAAAAUGGGAUGGAAAAAUGCUAGAUUACAAAAAAUGAAUUACUAUUAAGUCAUUUUCCCUACUGUAUAAUUUCCUCUCAUUCCUCCAUCUUCCUAGCCAUUAUGCUAAAUGACAAAACAAGCAGUAAAGACCAGAACAAGAACUUCUCAUGAAGAACAGCCAAAAGUAAAACUUUUUUCCUCCCCUCUCUUCUUCCCCAAAGUCUAAAGAUGCUCUUGCAAAGAGUGUGUGCUUGUGAACCAGAAACAGGCUCUUAAUGGAAGGAACUUGGCUGUAAUUUAUUUUUGUCUUGUGAUAUUAAGUAAUUUUACUUGAUGUACCAUUUUUAAAAAUAAAAGUAUGGGUAUAUGGCGAAGUAGAAGUAUGAGAUACAGUGAAUACAGAGACACUUGAAUUUAUUCUUGAAUUCCUUUAAAGCUCAUGUACUCAUGAAUGCCUGUGAAAUCUUCCAGAUACUAAAUGGAACUUUGUGCUUUUUUCUUUUUCCCCGCGGGAAGCCUAAUAUUCCCACUUCUGCCCCAAAGCAGGAAAUUUCUAGGAAAAAUCUCACACAGGGUUUGCCUGCAAAGCCAUUGUCAAAUGAUGAGAUUUGAGAUUCAAGAAAUUGAAACUUUUUUUUUUGCACAUUGUGCAAAGGGUAUAGCAGUGGUUCUGGUGGAUUCUUUUGUAAAUUAUUUGCCUCUUCUACACAAAUGUGCCAACUGAUGUUGUUCUGCGUGCUUUUAAAUUUCUCUCUUCAAUGUAAUUACUAGAGGUACAUCAGUGCCUAAGGCUAUGUUAUUAUCUCUAGAUUCAGACACUGUAAAAUACACAUCUGUUUGUGUCUUCCAUUUUCUAGCUCGAUAUUCACACGGAAAUAUGUUGUGGUGUCUCAGCGUGACAGGUGUACGUAUACUCACUUCUCAGUGGCCCUGCCUGGCCUCAGUAUGUUUGCAAAUGUUGAAGCCUAAAAGAUGUUUUCCCCACAGAAACCACGCAGUAGAUGUAACAAGUAAUCAAUCUUCUGAACAGCAAUCAGGAAGCCUCUUAACAAACAUCCUACACAAACACAAUAAUUAAUCUAAGCUAUGACCUGAAUAGCAAUUAAUAUAAUCAGCAUUAAAAGGUGUGCCUACUGUACUCAUUUUGGGCUGUCAUAGGAUGUUAUAUGCAAUAUAAAAAAAUUGGUUUGUUUUGAAGAAUACUGAUUUCAGGAGUGAAAGAUGCAGAUCGGGUUGUUUGUUCCAGUGUGCUCAGAUUAAAGCAAAACACAAUGUCAAAGUAGAUAAAAAGGAUAUAUACACACAAACUAUGAAAAAAACCACCACCACCACCAAAAAAACAACCACCAAGCCAAACAAAAACCCAGACUUCUAACCACAAACUCUCAGAUGAGCAAUUGUGGUCUGUGAGCAUUAAGUGGUG